GGUAACUAAUCACGAGUGGGGGAGAAAGAAGUAUGUUACGUUUACACAGCUUGGGACUGGUGGAUGUUGUAUCUUUUGCUGACCGCUCAAUAAUGCUUGUUUACGCUUUCACAGCAGCAGCUCUGGUUGCAUUUCUGCCUGGAAUGGAGUCUCCAAUGUGCAGGAUUGCAAGAGGCUGCAGAGGGCUGUAGACUCAGCCAGCUAAUCACAAGCACUCCCCACCCCACCAUCAAGGACGUCAUCAAGAGGCGAUCAUCCCUCACGAAGCCACAUCGACAGCAAGGACAUGCCCUCUUCUCAUUACUACCAUCAGGGAGGAGGUUGCUGACGAAAUAUAUCAACUCCUUCCUGAGACGUGACUUUGAUCUGCUUCAAUUUGCCUAACAUCACAGCAGAUGCACUGGCUCUUCACUUAACCCUGGAACAUCUGGACAGCAAAAAUGCAUACAUUAGGAUGCUCUUUGUCCAUUACAGCUCGGCAUUCAAUACCAUCAUCCCCUCAGAACUAAUUAAUAAGCUUCAAGAUCUUGGUCUCAUUCCUUCCUUGUGCAAUUGUAUCCUCGAUUUCCUCACUUGCGGACCUCAGUCAGUUUGGAUUUACAACAUCCACUCCACAAUUUCAAAGGGCUGAUCUUGUGAACUAAACCAGCUAUUGAGCUAAACCAGCGGUCCCCAACCACCAGGCCGCAGAGCAUGUGCUACCGGGCCGCGAGGAAACAAUAUGAGUAAGCUGCACCUUUCCUCACUCCCUGUCACGCACUGUUGAACUUGAACAUAGGGUUGCCAACUGUCCCGUACAUGCCGGGACGUCCCGUAUAUUGGGCUAAAUUGGUUUGUCCCGUAUUUCCCCUGCUAAGGUAGAGCGUUCCUAUGAAACCUUUUGUGCCGAAAUGGUGUGAAGCGAAGAAGCAAUUACUAUUAAUUUAUAUGGGAAAAAUUUGUGAGCGUUCUGAGACCCAAAAAAUAACCUAACAAUUCAUACCAAAUAACACAUAAAACCGAAAAUAAGUAACGCUAACAUAUAGUAAAAGCAGGAAUGAUAUGAUAAAUACACAGCCUAUAUAAAGUAGAAAUAAUGUAUGUACAGUAUAGUUGGGAAGAUGAACGCAAAACCGAUUUGUGGGGGAAAAAAUCAGCAUGUACGCGCAUGCGCAUACAGGUGCCCACGCAAGUCUUCAUGGUCAUGGUAGUCUUUCCUGGGGUAAAGUGUCCCGGGAUUUGACUGCUACUUUUGUCCCUAAUUUGGGAGUGAGAAAGUUGGCAACCCUAACUGUAAAAGACAUGUUGAGGUGAGUUUAAUCCUACUUGAACACGCCCCCCCCCCCAAGUCGGCUGGUCUGCAAUACUGUCAAUAUUAAACCGGUCCGCGGUGCAAAAAAGGUUGGGGACCCCUGAGAUAAAUAGUUACCCAAGCUGAAUUUAGUUUCUUUGAUACUGAGACCACAUUUUGAACACCAUACAAAACUUAAUAAAUUGGAAGAACUGUAAAUGAAUUGCUCCUUCACCUGGAAGAACUGUUUGGCUUUUUGGAACAAGCUUUUCUUUUUCUCUAACUGCAUACAAGAUGACAAGAAGUGGUAGAGUGUAAAACUCUGGUUAGGCCACAACUGGAGUAUUGCGUACUCUUCUGGUCACCCCACUAUGGGAAGGAUGUUGAGGCUCUG